CAACCGAAAAUUCCUACGUGUGACGGCUGCGAUUUUUAGGGCAAUUAAAGGUACAUUUCAAGAUUUUGGAUGCUGGACUCUGUAUGCGGAGGACUCAGGUAGUUUUGAGGCAAAUAAAUUAUUAGCUUAUGAUUUCAGACUGUAACGCCCCAUACCCGAGACCAUUGCCGGAGUCGAACACGAGGUGUUAACGGACUUAAUUCAUUUACUUACACAGUUCAUUUUAAAA